rnacentral:rRNA from 1 species
GAAGAGAGAGUUCAAGAGUACGUGAAACCGUCUGGGAGUAAACGGGUGGUUCCCGAAAGUGCGAAAGGGGAGAUUCAGGUCUCGCCGCGCGCCGGGCCGCUUCCGCGACCAGGGAUGGCUCUCUCGCGGCCGUGGGGCGACCCACGGUCCGGGANNNGCGCCACUCCGCGGGUGCGGUCUGUCCCGGCGUCAGAGUGACGCACUUCUCCCC